GUCACAUGAUGUAAAACCAAAUUUAUAUUCUGAAUAAAUCCGUGGUCUGACAUGUAGACAAUGGAGGUUCAAUUUUUUGUAAAUUUCUUGCUUCAAUCGGUACAAGGUAUGAUCAGAUGAAGUGGUUACCAUAAGUUUUGUGGGUUAUGUAUAAAGGCAGCAAUGAAACAUGCAUGAUAAAUGUUGUAAAAUUAAUUGCUUUGUAACUUAUUUGUUAAAAUAUUUGUCCUAAUUGUAAUCUGCGAAAAAAAUUGUUUUUGGUAAGAAUCUGAUAAUUGUGUAUGGUUGUUCUUUACCAUCAACUCUGAGCAAGUAUCAGACAUGUUAACUAUGUUUUGAAGAAUUCUUUGUUUUUGUCAGAAUAUCAGUAUAUUUGAAUCUAUGUUAGUUUUCAUUGUUUUAUUAUUAUCUCUAUCUUUUUUUUUUUUUUGGAAACAAAUGCAUUUUUUCUUGGCUUUUACUUUUUAUUUUACAUGCAUGUAUUUGUAAUGGUAGUUAUUGAUAAUGUGCUAAUUUUGAUUGUUUUUUAUUUAGUAUAUACAUGAACUUGGGUUUUUUUCAUGAAAAAAAAGAUGUCACAAUGAAAUCAUUUUACAGGAUUUUUUUUUAUAGUACAUCAGUUACAGCAAUCUUCUCCCACCCAUUUUAUCAGAAUAAAUUACUGUAGAUCAUAC
rnacentral:misc_RNA from 1 species